UAAGAGCAUCAGGACUCCCAGCAGCGGGUCGGACCGGCUGUGCUUCGCCGUUUGUGAAGCGGUCUGGGGCUGCGACUUGUUGCUUCUGCGCGACUCUUGAAAGACGCCGGUGUUUUUGCAAAAGCAGAUGCGCCUUUGCCGGCCGCUUCUUCUUCUUCUUUUUUGCUUUGCUUUGCUUUGCUUUCCAAUCCCCUCCCCCAAUGUAUUGUGGAGCGAGUCAAGUGGCUUUAGCUGCUCCUGAAGAGGAGGAGGAGGAGGAGGAGGAGGAGGACAGGUGAAAAGGCUGGCGCUUUGUUGUGCGCUGGAUGCUCUCGCUUCCACCCCUCCCUGCUUCUUCUGCCUGUGCAACAGGUAGCGAUGUCAGAAGCCGGGAAAAGCUGCGCGCCGAGUCCCGGCCGCGGUGACCCUUUUGUUCUCCUCGCCUGGAUGCGCUUCCAAAAGUGAAAGGAAAGCGGCUUCACCCAAAACUUGCUUCCCGUCCCCCACCCCUCCCUCUCUCCCUCCUCCCAGCGCGACGCUUGAGUAGCCCUUCCACUCCUCACAACUCCCAUCCUGGUUUCCUAAAAGCCCCGCUUUUCGUCUUUGGGAAGGGUGAGAGGAUCCCGCGCCCACCCUGCCGGAUUGCGAGGGGGGGGGAUCGUUCUCUGCGCCUGUCAAGGGGAUCCAAACAAAGAGGUGCAUUUGCCGGAAAUAACGAUCGGAGGGAUUCUCCUUGCCUCCUCCGCCUCCAUUAAGAUUGUUUUUCUGGGAGGCUCACUUAGAGGGAAGUUUUGAAACUGGAAGUUAGGGAUGAGGCGAGAAACCCAACAGCCUGCGCCUAUCUCUCUCUGUGUAUAUAUAUAUAUUUCUUUAUCUUAUCUCGGGAUCCAGACGUUUCGAAGGAGUAAGUGCGGCUGAAGUUGGCUUGGUCCUCCAGCUGAUGGUAAUAAACUUAAGGAAAGAUGAAUAUCUUGCAGAUCCUUUCUUAAAAACAUACAAUCUGUAAGCAGAUUGUAGGCAGAAUGCUACUACAAAAGACAGAUAAUGAAAGAUCCAGACUGCUGCUGGGUGGUCUCUCUUCCAAACAGCACAAUGUGUGUGUUUACAUCAGCUGAAGGAUUACUGUGAACGCAGAAAGUGAAGAGAAUGAGGAAUGUUGACUUCCAUAUCUGUCCUUUCAGUUCAGCCAUGUGUGAGUCAGAUCUUUAUCUGUUGGAUGUCUAGGGCUAAAGAGUCCUUCAAACGAAGGAAUGCAAUCAACGAAAACACUUUGGAGGAGGAGAGCCUGUGCAGAGAAGGGGGUCUGUCUAGACUUCCAAACAAUUUCCCUUUCCUGACCAAGGCAGAUCAUAUUUCCUUCCUAAGGAACAUGGCUGUGAAGUCACCGUUUUGUUUUUGACCCUGGUUUUCCUGCAAAUGUUUGAGUCAAACUCUGAUUGUAAAGAAGAUUCAAGGCACAUAAACAUUUCAAAGCAAGAGAAGUCUUCUUUCUGUAAUGGCUUCAGCAUGCAGUGGUAACAGGGGACAGGAAAAGGCUAAGUGAGCUUCUUAUUUGUCAAAGGUAAAUUAUUCAGAAGGCAGGCCAAAUGGAGAUUGCCGGAGAACUAAUGGUAUAUGGAGGAUUUCAUUUCAUCCUCUCCAGUUCGGAGCAGGCUUUUCAGGAAUUCAUUGAAGUGGAAUCGGCUUUGAGCACUGCAGCCAAGAAGUAAUAUUCUGCCAUCCAGCUUGUGUCUGUGGAACAGCAUCCCCAGCAGCCUUCCCUUCAGCAGUCGCAUGCACAACCAUAGGCACACAGGCAAUGUAGUAUGUGCAGAGGUGUAGUAGGUCCCUGUCGAGCCCUUUUAAGGGGACCGUUUCUCUAGGGCUGCUGCAGAGGAGCAGUUGUGGUCUCGUUAUCUGUGGAUGCUGCUUUCCCCGAACGUGCGUUUGGCCACUUCAGUGCUGCAUCAUGCGGUUCUCAUGUGACACUGGCUCUCUCUGGCAGUUUGAAACAAGAGGUUGGGUGAUUCCGCAUUUCUGGACAGUUGCGUUCAGCAACAUAGGCAGUCGCAAUCCCAAAUGACAGAAAUAAAAAAAAGUUUUAUUUAUUAGUGCCUUGAUUUUGCAGUGGUUUUGCUUUAAUCCUCUGUUUUAGAGGGGAUAUGUGUGGGGGGGGCACUCCUGCUUUUUCCUUCCUGCAGGAUUUGAGCCAUGCUGUUGGAAAGGAGCGAUUUCGUCUUCUCUCGGAGUGAUGACGCUGCACCACUUUUGGCAUAUCCUGCUUCCCCCAUUUACCUGGGUGGCUGUUGCUGCUGCUGCUGGGGUUGCUGUUGCCUGCCUGCCUGCCUGCCUGCCUGCUUGCAUUUCAGCCCGGCUUGUUUCAGGAGAGCAUCACUCAUCAGCACGCAAAGGGAAAGACACACGAUGAAAUCUGGGCACUGCAUUCUGUUAUUGCUGCUGGAGGCGAAGAAAUGGGGGAUGCAAGGUUUACUUUUCCCCUCCCUGAACGGUGAAAAUGCGAGUUAAAGGUUUGGGGAGCAAACAUUUAAAGAAAUGCCGUGCCAGCUAAUCCGAUACAUAUAGGGAGGGCAUUGGCAGCAAUGCAGCAUGAACGGAACGUUAUGCGUCCAGAGGAAGAAUUCAACCACUGCUAUUUGGAUUAUUAUGGGGAAAGCCUUGGUGAUGCAGUUUCACCUCAGAGGAGAGCUGUGCUGAAGAUGGAUAAAUGAAGUGCCUUGUAUGUGUGCCUGUCAGAGCACAGCCAUGGGAAAAAAGGAGUGGAAGCCAGCAAGUGGCAAGGAAGACGGAGAGCUGCAUGCCGUCUGAUUGUCCUCUUUGGUGUCUGCUUAUUCCAGCAAUGGUGAUAGCAUAAUUUACGGAAAUGUGCCUGGAGACAGGGACUUGAAAUUGUAGACCGAACACUCCCUAAUGCUGUUACAGAGGAAACGAAAGGUGUAUGUGGCUGCAAAGACACAAACGCCUUGUGGGGGAAAAGAGAAGUGUGCAGAAUCAAUGUUCUGACCAUGUUCUGGAUAUUGGUAUGGGAAAACAAAGGAGAAUAAAGCAAAACAAUUGAACAGGACUUUUAAUGGAUACAUGAAAAGAAUCACUUGUUUCCUCUGGUACAUUAAAAGCAAGUAAACAAAGGAGAAUCUUUUGGUCAACCAGAAGACAUGUUAAAAGAUUCUCUCCCCUUGUCUUUCCCUAGCAGUCUAUGAAACACAUUGACAGGAGCAGAGAAAAGAAACCGUGAGCUUAUCUACCUCAGGUAGUUUGUAUUAUGAACUCAGCCUCACAUACUGCAUACCAAGGCAUGAGGAAGCCCCAUUCAGGUUAAGGACAUGAAACCACAAACUCAUCUUCAACUUGGCUCUGGCUACUAAAAGGGCAGCCUCCACUCCUUGAUUGUGGUAUUAAAAAAAAGUAUUAUGGUUUACAGUACCCUCCACACCUUGGUACUGCUGUUCACCUCUAUGACUUUGCUGUAGAAUGUUGCCAUAAGUGUACAAUGUUCAGGGAGCAUGAUGGCUCAAUUGUUAAAGAUGCUGAGAUUGUCAGCUGAAUGGCUCGAGUGCUAUGCAAUGGGUUGAGCUCCCAUUUUUUGCCCCAGCUCCUGCUCAUCUGGCAGUUCGAAAGCAUGCAAAUGCAAGUAGAUUAAUAGGUACCAUGGUGGGAAGGUAACAGCAUUCUGUGCACCUUUGGUGUAUAGAUAUGCGAGCCACAUGACCACAGAAAAUUUAUUUAUUUAUUUAUUUAUUUAUUUAUUUAUUUAUUUAUUUAUUUAUUUAUUUAUUUAUUUAUUAUUCGUAUUUCUAUGCUGCCCACUCUCCGAGGACUCUGGGCGGCUUACAACAAAGACAGUAUACUAAGUAGAAUAUUGCCCCCAAAAAUCUGGGUCCUCAUUUUACCCACCUCAGAAGGAUGGAAAGUUGAGUCAACCUUGAGCCGGUGAGAUUUGAUCCGCUGAUCUGCUGAACUAGCUGUCAGCUGAAGUAGCUGCAGUACAGCACUCUAACCACUUCACCACCUUGGCUCUUACUAAAAUGUCUUCAGACAAUGCUGGCUCCAUUGUCUAAGAGCAUCACCCUCUAAAGUCGGACAUGACUGGAUAGGCAAACCUAUACCUUAUAGAAUGUUCUCCUGGAAAGCUGCCAGAUCAUAGUUCUACUGCAGAAGCCUGUAAUGAAACCAUGGGCACCCGCUUCACUAUGGACAGCUUUGCUAUAGCAAUGCUGCAGAAGUGGUUGGCAGCCCCCUAAUGAAGAUGCCCACAGCUUCACAACAGCACCAUAGGGUUGCUGGAGAAGAGCUGCAGCCAGCAGCCCCACAGUGAAGAUGAAGAGAGUAGCUAACUUUACCAUGGGACUAUCAAUGCAGAGAAACUUCCAUCCCAUUUUUUGCGCUAUGGUCGAGAAAAGGGAAAAAAAGAAAUGAAAUGGGCAGCUAUAUAAAUUGCUUAAAAUAAAUAAGUAAAUUGACAGAAGACAUGUUUUUCCAAUUAUUUUCCAUACUAAUGAAAACAUUGGGAGAGAAGGGGGAAAGUUGACCCUUGGGAUUUCUGGUGUCCAUUGUUAGCACCAAAGGAGAUGUGUACCCCCGAUGCCAUCUCUCCUCCCCACACCUCUAGUAUAGACAUUGCCAGAACCUCUAUUGUACUCUAAAGGUGACAUAGUUCUUUGUGGACCCCCAUACUGAAUAAACAACAUUUUGUUGCUCUCUUGCAACAAAAUCUUCAGUCUAACACUUAUGCUGUUUUUUUUAAAAAAAACCCGAAAAUGGACAACGUUAUUUCAGUCUAGAAACAGUAUCUGUGGAAAGCCUUUGACACUUUACUCUAGAAAAUGGUGAAAAACCACUUAAGUAUUAAACCAAAUGUGCUUACGAAGACUCUGCUAAGGCUCUAAAGCUCUUGCUGUGAACCCUUCGUUUUCUUUUUAGUUCAAACUUUUAUUAAAGGUACAAAAGCAAAUCAUUAUAUUUCAGAUAGAUCAUUUGAAACUCUUCACCUGGAAUGUUAUCCUGAAAUAUGGCUGUAGGGAAUGAAUUAUGGUCUAUGUUAAACUGGGUUAGAAUAAAGAACAUUAACGCUGGUGGAAUAUUUGAAACAUUUUGUGUUUAGUUGCCAAGUAUCAAGCUUCCAUUUAAUUGUUUUUCUCUUCCUACUUUGUAACCUCGUCAUGUAAGUCCAUUGCCUAUGAAACAGUUUUGGAAAUUAAAUGAAUAAGGAAUAAUUUUUAAUGCAUUUUCCAAACUUCAGAUAAUUUAAUGAAUAUUUUCACUGAAAACUAUGUUGUAGUCAUGUACAGCACCCCAGAUCCUUAUCUGUUUUGUAAUUGUUUGCGUCAGUGGAGUUUGAAGUAAAAUGGGACAAGGAAAUGAUCUUUUCAGGGCAAAAUAGAGGGGACAAUGAUGGCUGAAGUUAUGUGGUAAAACAGAAUUUGAGCCACAGUAUAUUAUAAUAUUAAAAAAGGGACCUCAUAUUGAUUUUGUUAUAUUAUGAGGUGAUAACUAGAAAGAAUCAUAAUAUGUUAUAUUAUCAAAUGGAAAACAAUUACAGAAUGAAACAAUUCACAAUGACUUUAUUUUAUUUGUAUAAGAUUAUAAAAUAUAAACAGAAUAUCAAACAAUAAAGACAUUGCUAAAGCUCUUAAAGACCUUUAACAAAAUUUAAGAAAUUACAACAUUAAAGGAUUAGAGUUAUGGUGAAAACUAAAGAUACAGAUUUAGGUUAUAGUCAAGAUUUAUAAAAUAUAUCAUAUAAUACCAUAUAGUUAGAAACAAAAGAUAGAAAAAGAAAAAUUUACAUAAUAAUACCCCAUUUCCAAGAGUGAAACUUAAUAUCUGGGAUAAUACUGUAUACUUUUUUGCAAUUUUUUAAUAUGAUUCUUUUGGCCACUUUUGUACAGUACAGUACAGUACAAUACAGUACACUUUUGUACAGUACAGUACAACGGUAGUUCAUCAUAGUCAGAUUCCAAAAUUUUGGUAUAUAAUUCAAUAUUGUAUUACUUUAACAUCUGUAUUAGUGAGAAGCUGAGAUAGCGGCUUUAAAUCAAUUAUGUGUCAAUUAUUUUAAGGAUUUUUCACAACUUCAACUGAAUUUGGUCUAACAAGUUUGCAACAGUGGAAGCAUUUUUAAUUUACACAGCUUUUUAAUUUACUGAGCUUUUUAACAGCUCAGUAUAGGGCAGCUAAUGUGGUCAAUUCAAAGACACCAGAAAUGUUUUCUUAUUUGAUGGAAUCUAUCACAGAAAUUAAACUGUAAUAAAGAUGUUUACAAUGAUGGAAUCAUAUUUACAUUGAUUGGCUGCUUAGAUACAACUAGUAUAGGGAUUAAGUUGCUGGACUGUGAUGACCUAUAUUCAAGAGAUCUCUCAAGCAUAGAAGCUCACUGAAUGACUUUGGGCUGGUCAGUAUUUUUUUGACCCAACCUACCAUGUAGAAUCAUAGAAGAAAACAGAAGAGUCUUGAAUAACUUUCAACAUCUAUAAGAAAAGUAUGGUUUAAAAAUAAACAAAUUUAUUUCACUUGCCUGGGAACAGUAUUGACUGAAUAAUAUUGAUCUGCCUCCUUUGUAGACAUUUACAAGAUUAUAUUGCAAGAGAAGAAAUACAGAAACUAAUUUUUAUGAAAUGUUGUUUUACUGAAUUUUAGAAGGUGAGACAAGUUUGUACAACUAUAUCUAUCUAUCUAUCUAUCUAUCUAUCUAUCUAUCUAUCUAUUUAUCUAUCUAUCAUCUAUCAUCUAACUACACACACACACACACACACACAAACAUACAGUAUGCAUUAAUUUACUUAGAUAUGUGCAUAUUUACCAAAAACAAUUUACAUAAAUUUUUGUUUCAGUAGCAUAGCAAUAGCAAUAGCAAUAGCACUUAGACUUAUAUACUGCUUUAUAGUGCUUUACAGCCCUCUCUAAGCAGUUUACAGAGUCAGCUUCUUGCCCCCAACAAUCUGGGUCCUCAUUUUACCCGUUUUGGAAGGAUGGAAGGCUGAGUUAACCUUGAGCCUGGUGAGAUUCGAUCUGCCAAAUUGCAGGUAGCCAGCAUUCAGCAGAAGUAGCCUGCAGUACUGCACUCUAACCACUGCACCACCGAGGUUCAGUAUAAGGGGAAGGAGGAAGAGAAGCAGCAAUUUUAUAUUAUCUACUUUCCCUUUGUUGAUAAUUAGAUACAUUUAGACGUCCCACAAUGAAUGCCAACAUAGAGACACUGGAUUUUGAAUGUUUUCUCAUUGUUCCUCAGACCUUCAUGAAUGUUUGUAUUCCCUAUGGGAAUAUUCCAUAUUCCUCCCUCUCUAUGGAACAGCAUCCCCAUGGAAAUAAGAUUGGCUCCCACUUUGACACUCUUUUGCAAGGCUUUUGUCAACAGGCCUGGGGAACCCAGAGUGGAAUGGAGCCCAUCAAGUGGCUUAUUUGAUUGAAUGUUAUCACGCGAGAGAUGGGGGGAUAUUGCUUUUUUAUUGUUUUUAUAUUAGAUGUUUAUCAUUGUAAACUGAUUGGAGUCAUUGAGAUUGAGUUGGGCAGCCAUAGAAAUUUUCUUAAAUAAAUAAAAAAGCAAGCAAGCACUCAUUUGAGAAUUUGUGAGAAUAUUUUCACUGUUUUUUUAAAAAAUGUAAAUCUUAACUUGAGGAACAGGUAUAUCUCUUAUUUUCUGAUACUAAACAAUUUCCCGACUCUCUCCCUGCUAAAAGACUAACAUAUUCAUUCUCAAGAUAGCUUUUCUAAAAUGAGAGUAGAUUUUUUUUUUCAUUAGCCAAGAGAGGCAAAUUUCCUUUGUAAUAAGCAGAAGCUCCUAUAUGAUCAAAUACCCACUCUUUAAAAAUAGGAAUUCAGCUAACUCAGUUUAGGUAUAUAGAAAAGGGGAAAAUGUGCAGGACCCUUAAAUCAGAAUAUUUACAAUCCAAGGCAGCAUAAAGAAAUUAUGUUCAAAGUGUAUCAUAAAUCCGAUUGGCAUAUUUAGUGCAUUCCAUUUCCCUGUGAAUAGUGGCAGUAUACCUGUAAAAGAAUUGAAAUGAGGAGCCAAGUAGGUUUAGUUCAAUUAUGCAGCCCCUUCCUACCCUGUGUGCUAUUAACUUGACAUGGUACUGUUUCUGAGUAGGCAACCAAUCCUUAAGAGUUGCUUCAUUUAAAUGUUUUCCCAUCAUACUUGAGCUUAUAAGCAAUUGUCUAAGUAGCAAUUCCAACUUACAGGCCUUCUGACUUUAUCAAUUUGGCUGUGUUCCAUAUAUAAACUAUUUUUGAAGUGGAGGAAGGAGUCUUAAACCCUAACAAAUAUAAUUAGAUGUAAAAACUAGAACUGGAUAUAGAUACAGUACUUGUAUCUAAAACAGCAAUUGUUGAGUCAUGCUGCAUCGUCUAAUUAUCAGAUAUAAUUUCUGUGAUUAGGGACUUCCAUUACAUAAUGAAUGGUCGAGAAGUUAACAUGUUUUUUAUGAAUGGGUAGUGUAUUUAAAAAUAAAGGAGUACUCUUUCUUCACUUCAAAAAUGCUGAUAUUUAAAUGGGUUUUUUUAAAAAAAAUUCAUAGAAUGGACAGAUGAAGAUUAAAAAAACAUAAAUCCUUUAUGCUUAAGACAAUAUAUUUAUUUACAAUAGCCAAUUUUAUAACUCAAAGCGCAAGCAAAAAACAGGGCAGUGCUAAAUUUAUUUUGCUUUAAAGGGGAACCUUAGCAUAAGACUUUCUUUGUUGACUCUUAGGUCCAUAACUAUUUACCUUGAAUUAUAAACCAAGAUGUGGGUUAGUAAUUUGUCUGCUGCUGACUUUCAUCAGUCAUAUUCUGGAGAAUUCCCUUCUCUGCAGUUCUGGUCUUCCUAAUUCCUCAGAGGGAAGAUUCUGCCUAGUGAAUCGGGACAGACCAAACUAAAACCAAGGUAUGGUAAGAGGAGCAUAGUAGUUCACAAGGUUAAGAUGCUGGGCUGAUGAUCAGCAGGUUCGUGUUUGAUACCUGGUUGCUGCCACGGGAUGGGGUGAGCGCCUGUCACACACUCCAGCUUCUGCCAACCCAGCUGUUUGAAAAUGGGCGAUUGUAAUUAAUGCAAUAAAUUAAUGGGUACCACUUCAAUGAGUAACUUAACAGGGAUGAGAAAGGAACAGCCACCUACUAGGUAACGAUGAUGUUAUUGUCCAAUCUUUUCAACCCGGAAGCACUUUGGCUCUCCUGACAUGGCUGUAGUAAUAGUACUAAGGUAUGGUAGAAAUGGCCAUGAUAUUACUUCCCAAUACAAUCAGCUCCUGCAUGGGGCAUGGAGAAGGGACACCAUUUAAUCCAUUGCUUUAGGCAGUGAAGUGCCUCUUGUCAACCUUGCUCAUAUAAGUAAACGAUGUAAAAGCAUGAAACAGCUAUGAAAUAUUUUGCUGUAUGAUUUGACUAGUAACUCAAUUCAACUUACGGAUUUGCUGCCUAAAAUAAAUUAUAUAACAGUUUAUGGGAACUUUUGGCUAUGUAAUAUUGGAUGGAGAAAUGUGGAGUUAGUAUGUAGGGAUGAGCAUGUGCUGUCAAAGAUGGGCAUCUUGUAUUGCCCUUGGAGGCAGAACAUAUUGUCUGUCUAUUCAUGUUUUUAGAAAGAUGUUUAAGCUAUGAAAUGCUGAGGUAAUUCAUGUUUGAAUAUGAUACUAUUAAAAUAGUUAUAUUUCAGUCCUCUUUUAAUGUUCUAUUAUAACUUAGGAUAAUUAUAAUUGGGUUUUUUGUAUUUUUAUUCUUGUUAAAGUAAAAUGACUGCAAUAUAUCCUAAGCUAGACUUUUAAACCAUUUCUGUACCAGCCCUUUCUUUUCCCAUUAAAUAUGUGCAAAUUAAAAAA